rnacentral:misc_RNA from 1 species
UGUGAGUUACAGGUCAGCCUA